rnacentral:rRNA from 1 species
GGCCUACGGGAGGCAGCAGUCGAGAAUUUUUCACAAUGGGGGAAACCCUGAUGGAGCGACGCCGCGUGGAGGACGAAGGUCUUCGGAUUGUAAACUCCUGUCAUGCGGGAACAAGAAAGUGAUAGUACCGCAAGAGGAAGAGACGGCUAACUCUGUGCCAGCAGCCGCGGUAAUACAGAGGUCUCAAGCGUUGUUCGGAUUCAUUGGGCGUAAAGGGUGCGCAGGCGGCAUGGAAAGUUGAGUGUGAAAUCCCGGGGCUCAACCCCGGAACUGCACUCAAUACUCCCAUGCUAGAGGAAUGUAGAGGAGAGUGGAAUUCACGGUGUAGCAGUGAAAUGCGUAGAUAUCGUGAGGAAGACCAGUUGCGAAGGCGACUCUCUGGGCAUUUCCUGACGCUCAGGCACGAAGGCCAGGGGAGCAAACGGGAUUAGAUACCCGUGUAGUCCU